rnacentral:rRNA from 1 species
AUACGGAGGGUGCAAGCGUUAAUCGGAAUUACUGGGCGUAAAGCGUACGUAGGCGGUUAAGUCAGUCAGAUGUGAAAGCCCUGGGCUCAACCUGGGAACUGCAUUUGAUACUGCUUGGCUAGAAUAUGGUAGAGGGAAGUGGAAUUCCGGGUGUAGCGGUGAAAUGCGUAGAUAUCCGGAGGAACACCAGUGGCGAAGGCGGCUUCCUGGACCAAUAUUGACGCUGAGGUACGAAAGCGUGGGUAGCAAACAGGAUUAGAAACCCCGGUAGUCC